ACAAGCGGAGGAGCAUGUGGUUAAUUCGAUGAUACGCGAGGAACCUUACCUGGGCUCGAACGUAAGAUGACUGUAGGUGAAAGCUUACAUCUCUUCGGAGCAUUUUACGAGGUGCUGCAUGGUUGUCGUCAGCUCGUGCCGUGAGGUGUCGGGUUAAGUCCCAUAACGAGCGCAACCCCUACCUUUAGUUGCCAUCAGGUUAAGCUGGGGACUCUAAAGGAACUGCCUACGCAAGUAGUGAGGAAGCGGGGAUGACGUCAAAUCAGCACGGCCCUUACGUCCAGGGCUACACACGUGCUACAAUGGCCGAUACAGAGGGCAGCUACCUGGUGACAGGAUGCAAAUCUCCAAAGUCGGUCUCGGUUCGGAUCGGAGUCUGCAACCCGACUCCGUGAAGUUGGAUUCGCUAGUAAUCGCGCAUCAGCCAUGGCGCGGUGAAUACGUUCCCGGGCCUU
rnacentral:rRNA from 1 species